AAUAGUGAUUAGAGCGUCUCUGGAAACCAUAAAAUAUUUACUUUUUUUUUAUUUCUUCACAAAAAAUCAUUGGGUAUCUGAUAUAGUCGGUUCGCUAAACUCAGACACAACUGCCUAGUGAUUUUAGUAAGUAAUUUUGCCAAUUUGGUAAAAUUGGCAAAAAAAUAAUUACUAAAUAGUUAAAAAAAUAAGAAAAUCUACGGUUUCGUUUUGAUUAAAAUCUGUCUUCCUCCAUCCCCCGAUAGCACUAUUUCUAGGUCUACCUGUUGUCAAGGAGGCUCUAAGGAAGACAGAUUUUUACCAUUCCGACCGUAGAUUGUCGAUAUAAAUUAAAAUAAGUUAUAUCGCAGUAUGGAUAGAACGCCCUCUAACGGGGAAUAAGCGAAAUGAAUUUCGACUCAAUUCAAGCUUUCUGCUUAACCCAGGUAUAACAUACCAAAAGGCACCGCCAGGAAAACAUUCCACUUUGCGGUUCAGAGAGCCCAUAUGAAACUAGUCUUUGUACUCUAUGCAGAGUAUGGCAUUAACAAAAUAAGAAAAUCUACGGUUUCGUUUUGAUUAAAAUCUGUCUUCCUCCAUCCCCCGAUAGCACUAUUUCUAGGUCUACCUGUUGUCAAGGAGGCUCUAAGGAAGACAGAUUUUUACCAUUCCAUUAAAUAGUUAAUAAUUACUAAAUAUUUUGUAAUUUUGCCAAUUUUGGUAAAAUUGGCAAAAAACAAAACAAUUACUGACUAAAAUCACUAGCCAGUUGUAUCUGAGUUUAGAGAACCGACUAUACCCAUGUGUGCGGUUUAUUAAAAAAAAUAGGUGUGAUCUUCCAGGGUUAAGUUAGAUUUAUAGUUUGACGUAGCGUAGACGUAGACGCAAUGUAGACGUAAGAAACGGACUGGAGACGGAAGAAAAUAUUAUGUCAAUUUAUAGAUCGACGUAGCGGAAUUCUUGCGCAUGAGUAGAAAGAGUAAACAAUGACUUAAUUCUAAUUCAACAACAUAGCCUAUAAAUUAUACGAACAGUAAACAAACUUUGUGUUUAUUUAUUUAUACUUAUACUAUUAUUUAUUAUAAUAUUUAUCUGUUUUGUGUGUUACAUGGAUUAGGAAAUAAACGAAAGUAUGCUCUUUGGUGCCGCAUGCCGUGGGAUUUCCAACUAUUUUGUUUCAUUUCCUGGUCUUUAAAUGUUUAUUGGAUUUACCUAUCGUAUAAUAUGUGUGGAUAACCACGAAUUAGGCUAAUAAACAACUCAUAUUUAUCUGAAAUAUUGAAAUGACUCUAUGAUAUAUUUUUAUUAAAUUAAUAACUUAACAUCCAUUGUAUUAACAAAUAAUUAACAAAAUUCGAAUAUGUUGACAAUCAACUUUUUACACAACACAAGGAAUGAGGGGACGGGGCGGGUCCACUUUGAGUGACAGAACAAAAUUCUGCCUUAUGAUUGGCCAGACGGAAGAAACGCACUGUAAAAGAUGAAAGUUGGUCAUCUCUUAUGUUACGUUACGUUUCUCUUACGUUCCGUCAGGCGCUUGCGUUCAUCUAUAAACACGAGUACACAAAAUUCGGUGUUGAUCUUUUCCAGUGCGUCUCCGUUGCGUCUACGUCUACGCUACGUCAAACUAUAAAUCCAACUUUAAUGCAGUAACGAAUAGUCACCCUUAGCCUUUCGUUAGAUUAGGUUCAAUUUUAAAUUAUAUCCAAAGUUUAAAGGUACUUUACUAAAUGAUAAAUCUAAUUAAACCGAAAUAUCUUGCAACGAAUAGUAAUUAAAUAAGUUUUAUGUUUAUUUGUGUAUGCAGCUUAAAGUCGACUUUACAUUACAUGAUUUAUCAUGUGAUUUGUCAUAUGAUUUGGUCAUGGAGUGAAAUUUACAUGUUUACACUGUGUGAUUUGUCAUAUGAUUUUGCAUUGUUUAUACGGCUCGUUUUGUCAUAAGCAUUGUCAUGCGGCUCGUCAUGGGAAAAAUCAUAGGACAAAUCACAAUGAUAAAUCAUGUAGUGUAAAGUCGACUUAAGACCAUGGACCAUGAGAAUUAGUGUGUAGCUGGCUUAAGCUGACAGAUCACAGUGACAUGACACAUGACAGCGCAAACAAAAACAAAGCACUGAUGUCAAAACAGGAAAUUUUUAAAGGAGAAUUAUAGAAAAUUAGAAAAAGUCUGUGUUGAAAUCGUUGAAAUACAGAAUCUGAUAUUUUUAGAGCAUUAUAAAGUGAAUAGAAAGUCAUACAAUUAAUAUUUCCAGCUUAUAUUUACUACUGUCCCCAUUCUCGCAGAUUGUAAACGGAAUGAUAGAUUCGCCUUAAAUUUUGCAGAGAAUAGGUCUUAUGGUUCCUCAAAGGUGCACAAGAUCUAAGGACGUUAGUCACUUGGAAUUCCAACAAACUAUUGUCUAAAUAGACCUAUAGGACGAAUGUGUCAAUCUGGAAAUGGUUUAGAUGUAGACUUUUUUUCUAGCUCUCUGAAUAGUUUUCGAAAAAAGCUGAAAAAAUCUUUUUAAAAUACAAUGUAGGCUGUCACUGUAAACUGUCAUUUAGGUAUUUAUUCUAUUCAUUUGUCUUGUGUAAAUUAUAUGUAAUUAUUAUUGAGUUCUAAAACUGUUAAUAUGAUAUGAAUUAUUUAAUGAUUGUAAUUAUUGUAAUUGGUAUAACUGUAAAUAAACUAUUUAUUUAUU
rnacentral:lncRNA from 1 species